rnacentral:rRNA from 3 species
CCUUUAUGGAGAGUUUGAUCCUGGCUCAGGACGAACGCUGGCGGCGUGCCUAAUACAUGCAAGUCGAGCGGAUCUUGUCCUUCGGGACAAGAUUAGCGGCGGACGGGUGAGUAACACGUAGGCAACCUGCCCUCAAGACUGGGAUAACCUCCGGAAACGGAUGCUAAUACCGGAUAUGCGGUUUCUCCUCCUGGAGAGAUCGGGAAAGACGGAGCAAUCUGUCGCUUGGGGAUGGGCCUGCGGCGCAUUAGCUAGUUGGUGAGGUAACGGCUCACCAAGGCGACGAUGCGUAGCCGACCUGAGAGGGUGAUCGGCCACA